rnacentral:rRNA from 1 species
UACGUAGGGUGCGAGCGUUGUCCGGAAUUACUGGGCGUAAAGAGCUCGUAGGUGGUUUGUCGCGUUGUUCGUGAAAACUCACAGCUUAACUGUGGGCGUGCGGGCGAUACGGGCAGACUGGAGUACUGCAGGGGAGACUGGAAUUCCUGGUGUAGCGGUGGAAUGCGCAGACUAUCAGGAGGAACACCGGUGGCGAAGGCGGGUCUCUGGGCAGUAACUGACGCUGGAGGAGCGAAAGCGUGGGGAGCGAACAGG